rnacentral:rRNA from 1 species
GCUUCAGCGGCGGUAGCGGUGAGUACACGUGGGCACCUGCCUGUAGACGGGGAUAACACGAGAAUCGGUGCUCAUACCGGAUAAUACGAAUGUCGCAUGACGUUUCGUUGAAUGACGCGCUACGUGUCGCUACAGGAUGGUGCGCGCAUUAGCUUCAGUGGGUGAGGUAACGCUCACCCGGGCGAGAUGCGUUCGCGACCCGAGAGGGUGUUUGGCUACCUUGGUACUGAGACACGGUCAGUUUCCUACGGUAGGCAGCAGGAGGGGAUUCUUUCCGUCACGGUAUUGAAUGUUCUUGACGGAGCAACGCCGCGGUAGGAAGUAGGUCCCCUGGGCGCUAAGCCCUUGCGGGAGGGAGACUACGACGCAGAUCCGGCGUACUUGACGUGACCUACAGGUAGCACGCGAAACACGUGCCGCAGCCCGGAAAUACGAGUGCAGCCCUGCCCGAAAAAGAGGCCAAGCCGCCGCGGGCUAAGUCGAUGAAGUCACCGUCCACCGAGAGUGUUCAGAAAGGGUUCGUUUGCUAAGCAGGUAUGCUUUCCGCGGCGCUAGUCGAAGGGGUUAUACCCGCGACCUGUCGCCCUUAGGGGCAUGGCGGCUUAUGCAGCAUGAGGACCCCCCCCCGCG